AGGGAAUCUUCCACAAUGGGCGAAAGCCUGAUGGAGCAACGCCGCGUGUGUGAUGAAGGCUUUCGGGUCGUAAAGCACUGUUGUAUGGGAAGAACAGCUAGAAUAGGGAAUGAUUUUAGUUUGACGGUACCAUACCAGAAAGGGACGGCUAAAUACGUGCCAGCAGCCGCGGUAAUACGUAUGUCCCGAGCGUUAUCCGGAUUUAUUGGGCGUAAAGCGAGCGCAGACGGUUAAUUAAGUCUGAUGUGAAAGCCCGGAGCUCAACUCCGGAAUGGCAUUGGAAACUGGUUAACUUGAGUGCAGUAGAGGUAAGUGGAACUCCAUGUGUAGCGGUGGAAUGCGUAGAUAUAUGGAAGAACACCAGUGGCGAAGGCGGCUUACUGGACUGUAACUGACGUUGAGGCUCGAAAGUGUGGGUAGCAAACAGGAUUAGAUACCCUGGUAGUCCAUGCCGUAAACGAUGUCUACUAGCCGUUGGGGCCUUUGAGGCUUUAGUGGCGCAGCUAACGCGAUAAGUAGACCGCCUGGGGAGUACGGUCGCAAGACUAAAACUCAAAUGAAUUGACGGGGGCCCGCACAAGCGGUGGAGCAUGUGGUUUAAUUCGAUGCAACGCGAAGAACCUUACCUGGUCUUGACAUAGUAAGAACUUUCCAGAGAUGGAUUGGUGCCUUCGGGAACUUACAUACAGGUGCUGCAUGGCUGUCGUCAGCUCGUGUCGUGAGAUGUUGGGUUAAGUCCC
rnacentral:rRNA from 1 species